AGUGGCGGACGGGUGAGUAACGCGUGAGAAUCUGCCUUGGGGUCGGGGACAACCACUGGAAACGGUGGCUAAUACCGGAUAAGCCGAUUGGUGAAAGAUUUAUUGCCCGAAGAGGAGCUCGCGUCUGAUUAGCUAGUUGGUGAGGUAAGAGCUCACCAAGGCAGCGAUCAGUAGCUGGUCUGAGAGGACGAUCAGCCACACUGGGACUGAGACACGGCCCAGACUCCUACGGGAGGCAGCAGUGGGGAAUUUUCCGCAAUGGGCGAAAGCCUGACGGAGCAAGACCGCGUGAGGGAGGAAGGCUCUUGGGUUGUAAACCUCUUUUCUCAGGGAAGAAGCUCUGACGGUACCUGAGGAAUCAGCCUCGGCUAACUCCGUGCCAGCAGCCGCGGUAAUACGGAGGAGGCAAGCGUUAUCCGGAAUUAUUGGGCGUAAAGCGUCCGCAGGUGGCGAUUCAAGUCUGCUGUCAAAGCACGGGGCUUAACUCCGUAAAGGCAGUGGAAACUGAAUAGCUAGAGUGCCGUAGGGGUAGAGGGAAUUCCCGGGUUAGCGGUGAAAUGCGUAGAGAUCGGGAAGAACAUCGGUGGCGAAAGCGCUCUACUGGACGGCAACUGACACUCAGGGACGAAAGCUAGGGGAGCGAAUGGGAUUAGAUACCCC
rnacentral:rRNA from 1 species